AUUGAACGCUGGCGGCGUGCCUAAUACAUGCAAGUAGAACGCAGUUGCGAACGGUUGCGUACCGCGUAGGUACCUGCCUCAACGCGGGGGAUAACUAUUGGAAACGCUAGCUAAUACCUCAUACUUUGAGAUUGACUUGCGUUGUAUUAGCUAGUUGGUGAGGUAAAUGCUCACCAAGGCGACGAUACAUACCCGACCUGAGAGGGGGGUCGGGCACACUGGGAAUGGGGCACGGGCCAAACUCCUACGGGAGGGAGCAGUAGGGAAUCUUCGGCAAUGGACGGAAGUCUGACCGAGCAACGGCGCGUGAGUGAAGGAGGUUUUCGGGUCGUAAAGCUCUGGUGUUAGGGGAACGGUAACUAACCAGAAAGGGACGGCUAACUAUGUGCCAGCAGCCGCGGUAAUUC
rnacentral:rRNA from 1 species